rnacentral:rRNA from 1 species
AUUGAACGCUGGCGGCAUGCUUUACACAUGCAAGUCGAACGGUAACAGGCCGCCAGGUGCUGACGAGUGGCGAACGGGUGAGUAAUGCAUCGGAACGUGCCCAGUCGUGGGGGAUAACUACUCGAAAGAGUAGCUAAUACCGCAUACGAUCUAUGGAUGAAAGCGGGGGACCGUAAGGCCUCGCGCGAUUGGAGCGGCCGAUGUCAGAUUAGGUAGUUGGUGGGGUAAAGGCUCACCAAGCCAACGAUCUGUAGCUGGUCUGAGAGGACGACCAGCGACACUGGGACUGAGACACGGCCCAGACUCCUACGGGAGGCAGCAGUGGGGAAUUUUGGACAAUGGGCGCAAGCCUGAUCCAGCAAUGCCGCGUGCAGGAAGAAGGCCGUCGGGUUGUAAACUGCUUUUGUACGGAACGAAACGGCUCUGGUUAAUACCCGGGGCUAAUGACGGUACCGUAAGAAUAAGCACCGGCUAACUACGUG